rnacentral:ncRNA from 1 species
CAAAGGCUUGGUCCUAACUUUGCUGUCACCUAAAGCUAAAUUUACACAUGCAAGUAUCCGCAGCCCCGUGAGAAUGCCCUUAACCCUCUUAUGAGAUCAAGGAGCGGGUAUCAGGCACACUACCGUAGCCCAUUACACCUUGCUUAGCCACACCCCCAAGGGAAUUCAGCAGUGAUAAACAUUAAGCCAUAAGUGCAAACUUGACUUAGUUAAAGCUUAGAGGGCCGGUAAAACUCGUGCCAGCCACCGCGGUUAUACGAGAGGCCCAAGCUGACAGAAACCGGCGUAAAGAGUGGUUAAGACAUUAAGUAAUUUAAAGCUAAACCUCUUCAAAGCUGUUAUACGCAUCCGAAGUUAUGAAAAUCCUUUACGAAAGUGACUUUAAUAUUUCUGAACCCACGAAAGCUAUGAAACAAACUGGGAUUAGAUACCCCACUAUGCCUAGCCGUAAACAUUGAUAGCAACUUACCUAACUAUCCGCCCGGGUACUACAAGCAUCAACUUGAAACCCAAAGGACUUGGCGGUGCUUUAGACCCACCUAGAGGAGCCUGUUCUAGAACUGAUAACCCCCGUUAAACCUCACCCUCCCUUGUUAUUUCCGCCUAUAUACCGCCGUCGUCAGCUUACCCUAUGAGGGUUUUAUAGUGAGCACAACUGGUAUAACCUUAAACGUCAGGUCGAGGUGUAGUAGAUGGGAGGGGAAGUAAUGGGCUACAUUCGUCCACUGACGAAUAACGAAUAACUUAUUGAAAAAUAGGUCUGAAGGAGGAUUUAGCAGUAAAAAGGAAGUAGAGUGUCCUUUUGAAACUGGCCCUGAAGCGCGCACACACCGCCCGUCACUCUCCCCUACUUUAAAUCAUCUAAUAACUAAUACAUCACAUAUUAUAAGGGGAGGCAAGUCGUAACAUGGUAAGUGUACCGGAAGGUGCACUUGGAAUACA